AUUGAACGCUGGCGGCAUGGCUAAAACAUGCAAGUCGAGCGCGAAAGUGUAGCAAUACGCGAGUAGAGCGGCGAAAGGGUGAGUAAUGCAUUCCUACGUACCUCAAGGUCAGGGAUAGCCAGGGGAAACUCUGGGUAAUACCUGAUGUGAUCGAGAGAUCAAAGGCUUGCCGCCUUGAGAGCGGGGAACGUCCUAUCAGGUAGUUGGUGAGGUAACGGCUCACCAAGCCAAUGACGGGUAGCGGGUGUGAGAGCAUGGCCCGCCACAUCGAAACUGAGACACUGUUCGGACUCCUACGGGAGGCUGCAGUAACGAAUCUUCCGCAAUGCGCGAAAGCGUGACGGAGCAAUGCCGCGUGCAGGAUGAAGCCCCUCGGGGUGUAAACUGCUGUCAGGGAUUAGGAACACAAUGACCAGUCCCAAAGGAAGAGACGACUAACUCUGUG
rnacentral:rRNA from 1 species